UACGUAGGAUGCAAGCGUUGUCCGGAAUUAUUGGGCGUAAAGAGCGCGCAGGCGGUCUAUCAAGUCAGAUGUGAAAUAUCCCGGCUUAACCGGGAGGGGUCAUUUGAAACUGGUAGACUAGAGUACAGCAGAGGAUAGCGGAAUUCCCGGUGUAGUGGUGAAAUGCGUAGAUAUCGGGAGGAACACCAGUGGCGAAGGCGGCUCACUGGCCCGAUACUGACGCUGAGGCACGAAAGCGUGGGGAGCAAACAGG
rnacentral:rRNA from 1 species